rnacentral:rRNA from 1 species
UACACUCCUACGGGAGGCAGCAGUGGGGAAUAUUGCACAAUGGGCGCAAGCCUGAUGCAGCCAUGCCGCGUGUAUGAAGAAGGCCUUCGGGUUGUAAAGUACUUUCAGCGGGGAGGAAGGCGAUAAGGUUAAUAACCUUGUCGAUUGACGUUACCCGCAGAAGAAGCACCGGCUAACUCCGUGCCAGCAGCCGCGGUAAUACGGAGGGUGCAAGCGUUAAUCGGAAUUACUGGGCGUAAAGCGCACGCAGGCGGUCUGUCAAGUCGGAUGUGAAAUCCCCGGGCUCAACCUGGGAACUGCAUUCGAAACUGGCAGGCUAGAGUCUUGUAGAGGGGGGUAGAAUUCCAGGUGUAGCGGUGAAAUGCGUAGAGAUCUGGAGGAAUACCGGUGGCGAAGGCGGCCCCCUGGACAAAGACUGACGCUCAGGUGCGAAAGCGUGGGGAGCAAACAGGAUUAGAUACCCGUGUAGUCCC